rfam:Triticum aestivum genome assembly, contig: Triticum_aestivum_CS42_TGACv1_scaffold_346753_4DL
UAGACUACUCAUAUCAACAAGGAAUUCCUUAUUUUUCGGGAGCCCAUUCGAAAAGAACUCCAAAGUUAAGCGUGCUUGGCUUGGAGUAGUUCUAGGAUGGGAGACCGACCGGGAAGUUGGUCCCAGGUGCGCACGAC